GAGGAAGGAGAAGUCGUAACAAGGUUUCCGUAGGUGAACCUGCGCGACCCGCGAACUUGUAUAAACAACCGGGGGCAGGGGCGAUCUCGGUCUGCGCCAAGGAACUUCAAUUAAAGAGUGCCUCCGGUCGCCUCGGAAACGAUGCGCGUGUCGGAGGCGAAUCUUGUACAAAACCAUAACGACUCUCGGCAACGGAUAUCUCGGCUCUCGCAUCGAUGAAGAACGUAGCGAAAUGCGAUACUUGGUGUGAAUUGCAGAAUCCCGCGAAUCAUCGAGUCUUUGAACGCAAGUUGCGCCCGAAGCCAUCUGGUCGAGGGCACGUCUGCCUGGGUGUCACGCAUCGUCGCCCCCAACCCCAUCGCCUCUCCAAGAGUCGAGGGCAGUCUGUGGGGCGGACAUUGGCCUCCCGUGCGCUUCCAAUUGCGGUUGGCCUAAAAGCGAGUCCUAGGCGACGAGCGCCACGACAAUCGGUGGUUACCAAACCCUCGUGUCCCGUCGUGCGUGCCUCGUCGCUCAUCUUGUGCUCUGUGACCCUGUAGCGUCGCGAUCGCGACUCUUCCAAUGCGACCCCAGGUCAGGCGGGACUACCCGCUGAA
rnacentral:rRNA from 1 species